GCAUUGGUGGGUCAAUGGUAGAAUUCUCGCCUGCCACGCGGGAGAUCCGGGUUAGAUUCCCGGCCAAUGCA
rnacentral:tRNA from 1 species